rnacentral:rRNA from 1 species
AUUGAACGCUGGCGGCAGGCCUAACACAUGCAAGUCGAACGGUAACAGGAAGAAGCUUGCUUCUUUGCUGACGAGUGGCGGACGGGUGAGUAAUGUCUGGGAAACUGCCUGAUGGAGGGGGAUAACUACUGGAAACGGUAGCUAAUACCGCAUAACGUCGCAAGACCAAAGAGGGGGACCUUCGGGCCUCUUGCCAUCGGAUGUGCCCAGAUGGGAUUAGCUAGUAGGUGGGUAACGGCUCACCUAGGCGACGAUCCCUAGCUGGUCUGAGAGGAUGACCAGCCACACUGGAACUGAGACACGGUCCAGACUCCUACGGGAGGCAGCAGUGGGGAAUAUUGCACAAUGGGCGCAAGCCUGAUGCAGCCAUGCCGCGUGUAUGAAGAAGGCCUUCGGGUUGUAAAGUACUUUCAGCGGGGAGGAAGGGAGUAAAGUUAAUACCUUUGCUCAUUGACGUUACCCGCAGAAGAAGCACCGGCUAACUCCGUG